rnacentral:lncRNA from 1 species
AUUUCCGGUGUGUCUCACCUUCAUUUGAGUUGAGGAUGUUUGCUGGAGGGGAAAGAGGCAGCCAAAACCAACUGUGAGCAAGUACUUUUGAAGACAAAUUCCCAGGCAUAUUCUCGACUCAGCUAUAGUUGAAGGUCAUUUUCUUCAAUUCCUGAAAGAAAUGUAUUAGCUGCGUUCAUCCUUGGAAGCUGUUUCCAAUCAGAGAAGAGAUAUUUUGAUGGUUUCUGGAGACAGUCUAUUCAUCUAAAAGCUGAGGCCCAUCAGUAGUAUGUAAAACAACACAAUAGUAUCAGUAAGUAGGAUGUAUUCAACACAAUAAUAUGCAUUUUUCAAGUUUUUGCAUGGGCUUACAAAGUAUAGUUUGCUCAUUAUAAAUAGUUCUUAAUGCUUCAUCUCCACCUCAG